rnacentral:rRNA from 1 species
AUUGAACGCUGGCGGCAGGCCUAACACAUGCAAGUCGAGCGAGCGGCGGACGGGUGUGUGAUGUCUGGGAAACUGCCUGAGGGAGGGGGAUAACUCCUGGGGACGGUAGCGAAUACCGCAUACCAUCAGAUGUGCCCAGAUGGGAUUAGCUAGUAGAUGGGGUAAUGGCUCACCCAGGCGACGAUCCCUAGAUGGUCUGAGAGGAUGAUCAGCCACACUGGGACGGAGACACGGUCCAGACUCCUACGGGAGGCAGCAGUGGGGAAUAUUGCACAAUGGGCGCAAGCCUGAUGCAGCCAUGCCGCGUGUGUGAAGAAGGCCUUCGGGUUGUAAAGCACUUUCAGCCGGGAGGCGUUACCCGCAGAAGAAGCACCGGCUAACUCCGUGCCAGCCGCCGCGGUAAUUC